UGCUGUGCAGAUCAGGAGUCAUGCACAGAAGUUCUUUUCGAAGGUCUGUCAACACCUUUUGGCCUGAGUCUUAUAUUUCUGCUUUGUCUUGGAAUCAUGAAAUUUAAUGAUCCUGCAAUGGUAUUAAACUGUUGACUGUUUUCUUUUUUAUGUAUGGUGUAAUUCUGUUGAUUUAGUUAUUUUUCAUUGAUGGUGUCUGUUUUUUUGUUGUUUUCUGAUAUGUAUGAUGUGCAAAAAAACACAGGCGUGCACACUGGACUUAAAAGAUUGUUAAGAGCUUGGCGAUGGUAGAACACUGUUUUCUUGUAGCCUUUGACUUAAUUUAACUAAUAAUUGACAACUCAAGCUCCCAGGAGAGUAUUUUUAGCCUGAGCAAUUUUAUAUUCUUCAUUUUCAUAUGUUUGGCCUUUUCUAUUGUCUGUAUGGCCUUUUCAUAUGUUAACUUAGGUUUGGGACUGAAGUAAGUUGAUCUUGAGGUAGUACAAGGGUUAUUUAGGCUUAUGACUAAACCUAGAUCCAAGGUUCUAAAAUAACGAGCAAUUGAAUUUAUAUGCAAUAACUUGUGAAGGUUGGGUCUUUUGUAUAUUUAGUGGUUCUGAAAUUUUCUGAUGCUCUCUAGUCUUAUCCACCUUCAGCCUUGGAAUGUCAUUCUUGCCAACAUGUAAUUGUACCACCACGAGUAGUGGGAUUUAAUCUCGUAUGAUUUCUGGGGCCCCACAAGAAGCCAUGAUGCUGUUAUAUCCUUAUGAUAUGGGAUGAUUGGCAUGACAUCAUUUGUAUAUCUAAAGCUUCUUCCACUGUAACUUUGGACUGCUUAUAGAAGUGACUAAUGGUAACAAGUACAUAUGUGGUCCUUUCAGUUCUUGAGAUAUGUUUGGCUCAUCUGGCAUACCAUAAAAAUUUUGAUCAAAGUCCUUUGGUUAAUGAACAUUCAUCUUAUCGAAGGUGACAAACUUUUGAGAAAAAAGUUCUUAUGGAGUUUGGAAGGGAGUCUACUUUUUUCCUUGGUUAUAAUAAAGAAGUUAGUCAUAUAUAUAUAUAUAGAUAGGUAACUUGGGAAACUACAGUGGUGUAUGGUAGGUUAGUGAUCAUUUGGCACUGGGACCUGAUAAUCCAUAUCUUAGUUUACUGACCAUUCUUUCUUAUUGGAGAUGUCAGUUCAAUGAAGAUAGCAAACCUGCCAAGCAAAUUUUCCAACUUUGAUGUGUGCAACCAGCUAAGGUGAGCUUGUUCAAGUAACUGCCUAAUUAGGUUUUGGCUGUGCCUUGUGGCUCACUUAGGAUCUAGCCAGGGUCUUCUUGCUCUAUAAGUUGACAUGACUUCCUGCAUCUUAUUAGGAUGGAUGACCAAUGUUGUCAUUCUCUUCUUUUUGAGUUUAUUUGAAGUUCAUUGAUGGUUACCUGCCCAACUUCCUUGAAGGUCAAAGGUGUGGGUAUAAUCUCUUAGUUAUUGGCAGUUAUCAUUUGCAUUAAUUACUUCCAAUAAGCUGUUUAUUGAUUUUUUUUUCCUCAAAACAUAAAUACAAGUAUUCUCAAGAUUCCAACCAAACACAUUUUCCUAUUUUAAAUCACAAUGUGAAAAGAGAGGAAUAUCCUAAGCCAGCAAGUUUUUGUAAAUACAUUAUCUCCUUAAGCUUAGCAAUAUUUUUCUCACUUGUUCUUGUGAUCCUUCUCAGUUUUUAACAGGAUAUUUAUUUUGCUUACUUGAGUUUUCUUUGCCAUAAAACCAGCUUCUGCUAGACAUAGGAUUGGAUUAGGCUCUUUUUUAGGCAAAGUAAGUCUAGGAAAGUUGGUCAGUGCCUGCUAGAGUUUCUGAAGCAUGGUCACUCUAUGGAUUGUUGUACCAGCAUUGUUACUUUGCUAAUGUUGUAAUAAAAUCAGUAUGAUCUUAAUAUUAAGAAAUAUAACACUAAAUCCUCCUGUAGUCUGGAUUUGCGUGAAAUAAAUUCCCUUCAAUCUGAUGCAAAUUUUUUCAAUUUUGACACCAGAUGAAGGGAAGGAUUGUUUGAUCUAAAGGCUGCACAAGAUGUAAAAGGGACCAUUUUGGUGCUCAGAUGCUCAGAAAAAUUGCCUACUUAGAUAAUUUUUCUAGGCAAAUUUCAAAUUGGGAAGUCAUUUUCCAUACCAUUGCAAACUUAUAAAAAAUGGAAAUAAUCUACAAGGAUAAUAUAUUGGCAUGAACUUUCUAGUGCAUCAAUAAUGUGUUGAUCAUCUUCAGCCAUCACUGGCCAUUGGAUUGUUGUCAAUCACCAACAACCACCAUUCCCGCCAAGCCCCCACCCCCAAUAUCCCUUUUUCUGUUUCUUUUUUUUUCUCUGAUGUUCAACUAAAAAUAGAAAAAUAUGAAGUCUUUGUAGAUCCAAGCAUCUUCAGUCUUAUUUAUUCAAAGAAAAUUAAUAUUUCCAAAUUUACUCAAAAUUUGAAAAAAUCAUUUUCAACUAUUUUUUAGUUUUGCAAUCAAACAAUCUCUUUUCCAAAACAAGUUAUUUUUUGUGAAACAGUAGGAACCUAAAUCUUAGUAGCACACAACCUGAAAGUAAACCAGCAUGUUUCUAAAGUAGAUGAAAAUUAAUCAAAUGGCAUCAUAUUGUUUGAAUUAGGCACAUGUAUGAUGCAUAAUGUUUUCUAUACCAAAUUUGUUCUGUUGAACGCCAUAUGAUAAUCAAAAUCGUAAUUUGAGUACAACGACAUCAAGACUACAUUUGAAUGCAUAUGCAUCAAUAAAUAUUCUCUACAUGAUCAUGUUAUAACUAAUUAUGAUAUGGAUGUUUCAUUUUCUGUAAUGGUAAUUAUUAUAAUCAGGAGUAACCAACCAGGUCUGCAUAGAGGAUAAAAGUUGAGAAUGAAAUGGAAGCUUCAUUUAAGCUAAUUAACUGAAUGCUAACAACCAUCAGAACGAAGAUACAUGGAAAGUGCAGGUCUUUCCAAACUGAUUUGACUUUUUAUGCCUAGUGACACAAACACAUUGGUAAAUUAUUCUAUCUGCUUCUGGUUAAUCUACAGAGGUUCUGGUUUGUCCUUUGCUGUCAGAAUAUUACAGGACUCUGUAGCUCUUUCUCAGUGUCCUUUUAUCUUGAUUUGAAUCACAAUGUCUUUUCUCCAUUUUGGUAAUAAGGGGGCUGGUUUGGCCAAGGAGUCAAGCUGACUGCUUGGCCAAACCAGCCCCCCCCUUUUUUUUUUGUUUUACUAACAGAAGAGAAUAUGCAAAUUUGAUAUUUUUUUUCCUUUUAAUGAGUUUCCACUUAAGUUAGACUUGCAAUGAAUUUGGCUAAAAAGGAAUGGAAGAGAAUAAGAAUGUUAGAAAAUCACACUUUCAUAAUUUUUUAUUUUAGUCUACUACAUAUUGAAGAUGAUUUGGUGAGCACUAAGUUUAGGAAAUUUAAAUGUGUGAAGAUGCUGUUUAAUGAAUAAAAGCGCAUUUUACAAAGAAGAAGACCUAUGCAUCAUGCAGAAUCAGAACCAAAACUUUUACAAAUGUAUGGGUAAAUAUCUACUUGUGGCAAUUCCACUGGUGGCCACCAACUUUGUUUUUGGAGGAGUGUAUUUAUGAAUUAAUGCAUAAGAUGCUUUGUAAUGAGCAUAAAGAAACCUUAGCUAUAUGGUUUUCAAUGCUCUCCCUCUCUCCCACCCCUUUGUGUUUGUGUGGGGGGGGAGGGGGCGGGGGGGUGUUGGGGGG
rnacentral:misc_RNA from 1 species